rnacentral:rRNA from 1 species
GACGUAGGGGGCCAGCGUUGUUCGGAAUUACUGGGUGUAAAGGGUUCGUAGGCGGUGUGGCAAGUCGGGGGUGAAAUCCCGAGGCUCAACCUCGGAACUGCCUUCGAUACUGCGGGUCUCGAGUCCGGGAGAGGUGAGUGGAAUUCCUAGUGUAGAGGUGAAAUUCGUAGAUAUUAGGAAGAACACCAGUGGCGAAGGCGGCUCACUGGCCCGGUGCUGACGCUGAGGCGCGAAAGCGUGGGGAGCAAACAGG